GACGAACGCUGGCGGCGUGCUUAACACAUGCAAGUCGAACGGAAAGGCCCUGCUUGCAGGGUACUCGAGUGGCGAACGGGUGAGUAACACGUGGGUGAUCUGCCCUGCACUUCGGGAUAAGCCUGGGAAACUGGGUCUAAUACCGGAUAGGAGCCAUUUUUAGUGUGAUGGUUGGAAAGUUUUUUCGGUGUAGGAUGAGCUCGCGGCCUAUCAGCUUGUUGGUGGGGUAAUGGCCUACCAAGGCGGCGACGGGUAGCCGGCCUGAGAGGGUGGACGGCCACAUUGGGACUGAGAUACGGCCCAGACUCCUACGGGAGGCAGCAGUGUGGAAUAUUGCACAAUGGGCGCAAGCCUGAUGCAGCGACGCCGCGUGGGGGAUGACGGCCUUCGGGUUGUAAACUCCUUUCGCUAGGGACGAAGCUUUUGUGACGGUACCUAGAUAAGAAGCACCGGCUAACUACGUG
rnacentral:rRNA from 1 species